rnacentral:rRNA from 1 species
GGAGCUAACGCGUUAAGUCGACCGCCUGGGGAGUACGGCCGCAAGGUUAAAACUCAAAUGAAUUGACGGGGGCCCGCACAAGCGGUGGAGCAUGUGGUUUAAUUCGAUGCAACGCGAAGAACCUUACCUACUCUUGACAUCCAGAGAACUUAGCAGAGAUGCUUUGGUGCCUUCGGGAACUCUGAGACAGGUGCUGCAUGGCUGUCGUCAGCUCGUGUUGUGAAAUGUUGGGUUAAGUCCCGCAACGAGCGCAACCCUUAUCCUUUGUUGCCAGCGGUCCGGCCGGGAACUCAAAGGAGACUGCCAGUGAUAAACUGGAGGAAGGUGGGGAUGACGUCAAGUCAUCAUGGCCCUUACGAGUAGGGCUACACACGUGCUACAAUGGCAUAUACAAAGAGAAGCGACCUCGCGAGAGCAAGCGGACCUCAUAAAGUAUGUCGUAGUCCGGAUUGGAGUCUGCAACUCGACUCCAUGAAGUCGGAAUCGCUAGUAAUCGUAGAUCAGAAUGCUACGGUGAAUACGUUCCCGGGCCUUGUACACACCGCCCGUCACACCAUGGGAGUGGGUUGCAAAAGAAGUAGGUAGCUUAAC